UAAACGACUCUCGACAACGGAUAUCUCGGCUCUCGCAUCGAUGAAGAACGUAGCGAAAUGCGAUACUUGGUGUGAAUUGCAGAAUCCCGUGAACCAUCGAGUCUUUGAACGCAAGUUGCGCCCGAAGCCUUCAGGCCGAGGGCACGUCUGCCUGGGCGUCACAC
rnacentral:rRNA from 1 species